rnacentral:rRNA from 1 species
UGAGGAAUAUUGGUCAAUGGACGCAAGUCUGAACCAGCCAAGUAGCGUGCAGGGUGACGGCCCUAUGGGUUGUAAACUGCUUUUAUAUGGGGAUAAAGUGGGGAACGUGUUCUCUUUUGCAGGUACCACAUGAAUAAGGACCGGCUAAUUCCGUGCCAGCAGCCGCGGUAAUACGGAAGGUCCGGGCGUUAUCCGGAUUUAUUGGGUUUAAAGGGAGCGUAGGCUGUCUAUUAAGCGUGUUGUGAAAUAUACCGGCUCAACCGGUGGCUUGCAGCGCGAACUGGUCGACUUGAGUAUGCAGGAAGUAGGCGGAAUUCAUGGUGUAGCGGUGAAAUGCUUAGAUAUCAUGACGAACUCCGAUUGCGCAGGCAGCUUACUGUAGCAUAACUGACGCUGAUGCUCGAAAGUGCGGGUAUCAAACAGG